GAUGAACGCUGGCGGCGUGCCUAAUACAUGCAAGUCGAGCGAAUGGAUUAAGAGCUUGCUCUUAUGAAGUUAGCGGCGGACGGGUGAGUAACACGUGGGUAACCUGCCCAUAAGACUGGGAUAACUCCGGGAAACCGGGGCUAAUACCGGAUAACAUUUUGAACCGCAUGGUUCGAAAUUGAAAGGCGGCUUCGGCUGUCACUUAUGGAUGGACCCGCGUCGCAUUAGCUAGUUGGUGAGGUAACGGCUCACCAAGGCAACGAUGCGUAGCCGGCCUGGGAGGGUGGUCGGCCACACUGGGACUGGAACACGGCCCAGACUCCUACGGGAGGCAGCAGUAGGGAAUCUUCCGCAAUGGACGAAAGUCUGACGGAGCGACGCCGCGUGAGUGAUGAAGGCUUUCGGGUCGUAAAACUCUGUUGUUAGGGAAGAACAAGUGCUAGUUGAAUAAGCUGGCACCUUGACGGUACCUAACCAGAAAGCCACGGCUAACUACGUGCCAGCCGCCGCGGUAA
rnacentral:rRNA from 1 species